rnacentral:lncRNA from 1 species
CGCUAGGUCCGCAGGGCGCUGACCCCUGGGGGCCCGAGGAGCGCCGGGCUGCUGCCCCGAGCCCCGCCCACUACAGCCUCAGUGCAUGGCGGUGGGCGCUUCCAGUAACUCAGGGGUGGGACUUUUUUCUUGCUCAGGGGAUGAGGCCGAGCCCACAGGCUUAGAAAGAAGGAACUUGAGUCCGGGCACCUGUCAUCCCAGCGCUUAGGGAGGCCGAGGCGGGUGGAUCACCUGAGGUCAGGAGUUCGAGACCAGCCUGGCCAAUAUGGCGAAACCCCCGUCUCUACUAAAAAUACAAAAAUUAGCCGAGCAUGGUGGCAUGCACUUCCAGCUACUUGGAAGGCUGAGGCGGGAGAAUGGCUUGAACCUGGGAGGCGAGGGUUGCAGUGAGCUGAGAUCGCACCACUGCACUCCAGCCUGGGUGACAGAGCGAGACUUCGUCUCAAAAAAAAAGAAGAAGAAAGAAGGAAGCUGAGGUUCAGACAGGCUAAGUCCCUACUGCAGGCUGCGGAAUCUAAAAAGGUCAUGAACUCUGAGAGUUUGAGAUGAGCCUCUAAAAGCUGUAUCAAUAGCACCUUGCACUGUUGAAGCAGGCCAUGAACUCUGAGAAUUUGGGCUGCAUUUUUAAAGCUGUAUCACUGGCAGUUUGUACUCAAAAAGCAGGACCUUUGCAGGUGCAGCUCCCUCCACACCCUGAGUCUUCAUGUGGCUCCAUCUUGUCUCCAACCAGUGCUCUGAACAGAGUUCACCACCCAAGGGAGCCCUCUCUGACUGCUGUCCCCCGAGCACCUGCUUUGUUCCCUUCUUGAGGUUGGUGCUUUCUUUAUUCACUUUCUGUUUACUGCUUUCUCUCCAUUGGAAUAUAAAUUCCUUAGAGUAUGAUAAAAAAGAUGGACCUAAAGUUGUGAGUUUUUAUUGGUCCUAGGUUUCUUACUGGAGGUUAGAUAAGUCCAAAGGACAACAAUAACAACCACUUCUCACUUUCCUGUGUAUCAUUAUUAAAAGUAUUAUCUUCCUGCUUCUACUCUUACUUGGGAAAUAAGAAUAAAAUGAUAAUGGGGUAAGAGAGUUGGAGGAUACAGGAUAGAAAUGCAGUUAUGCAGUAGGAAUUCAUUUGAAGGGAGAGAAUGAAGGAGGUAAUUUUCCAGGCACUGCUCAGCAUCCUUGGAGAGGCAUCAUCAUGAAAUUACAGAGAGAACAGGCAGUGGAGAAGGAGCUGUUUCUCCCCAACCACAUGCAUCUGCAAGAGUGAGGAGUGGAACAGGCAGAGCCAGAGAACAGCAGAGUUGAGGUUUUCCAAGGAGGUACAUGCAGCAGAAUAUGCAAGAGAUUCGAGUGUGUCCAGAGGAAUUUAUCCUAACAAUUGACCAUGGAAGGUGACCAGAUGGGUGUGAAGGUCAGUGAAAAAUGGUUAAAUAAAGACAGUGUUGGUCUCCAAAGAAUAACGGGAUGUAGUCCUUAGGUGAGAAAGAGGAGUCACUUGGAAAGUAGGACGUGAUGUUGGAGAUGGGAUGCUAGAACUGAAGGCUUGGAGUGAUUUUAGGCUAAUGGGAGUGGAUGGCUAUGGGCAUUUGGACAAUAGCCAUGGAGGAGAGAGGGUCCCUAUAUAGCUAGUCAGGAGUGUCAGGAGAAUCAUCUCCAUUAGGGAUUAUCUACCCUGACAUUAUUGAAAAUAUGAUUUAGAUAGUUAUUUGUGUUGCAGGGAAGGCUGCAUUCUGCAUUGUACAUUGUUGUGUGUGGAAUAUGGUCUAGAUAGUUAUUUGUGUUGCAGGGAGGGCUGCUUUGUGCAUUGUACAUUGUUGUGUGUGAAAUAUGGUCUAGAUAGUUAUUGGUGUUGCAGGGAGGGCUGCUUUGUGCAUUGUGCACUGUUGUGUGUGAAAUAUGGUCUAGAUAGUUAUUUGUGUUGCGGGGAGGGCUGCUUUGUGCAUUGUGCAUUGUUGUGUGUGAAAUAUGGUCUAGAUAGUUAUUUGUGUUUUGGGGGGAGGGCUGCUUUGUGCAUUGUACAUUGUUGUGUGUGGAGCAGCACUCUCGCUUCUACCCAGAGGAUGUCAGUAAUUCUCCUCUACUUGUGUCCAGACCUCGCCAACUGUCUCUUGGGGGCAAAGUCACUCCUAGAAUAAAAAUACUAAUAUUAUAUAUUAGUAUUUAACAUUUUCAGCUGUUAUAAUCUUUUAAAAAUGUCAACCUUUGUUUCAGAUACAGAGGGUGCAAGUGCAGGUUUGUGACAGGAGAAUACUGCACCCAGAUAUUGGGCAUAGUACCCAAUAGGUAGUUUUUCACCCCACACCACCAUCCCCUGUCUACGAGUCCCCAGUGUCUAUUAUUCCCAAGUUUAUGUUCAUGUGUGCUCAGUGUUUAACUCUUGCUUAUAAGUGAGAACAUGCGGUAUUUGAUUUUCUAUUCCGGCAUUAGUUUGCUUAGGAUUAUGGCUUCUGGCUCCACCCAUGUUGCUGCAAAGGACAUGAUUUUAUUCUUUUUUAUGGCUGCAUAAUAUUCUAUGAUGUCUAUGUACCACAUUUUCUUUCUUUCUUUCCUUCUUUCUUUUCUUUCUUUCUUUCUUU